AUCCUUAAGAGAGAAAGGGAAUAACCUAAGUUUCAGAGCAUCAUCAGUGAAGUUUUGAAUUUUAACAGUAGUGCAUAUCUCAAGGAACUCAUCUAAAUAUUUGUAUGGGUUUUCAUUGUUGAGUCCAUAAAAAGAGGGAAGCAUUUGGAUGACACUAGACUUAAUUUCAAACUGUACAGCAACAGUUGGUAUCAGGUAGUCGAAUACAAGAUGGAGAGGUAUAAAUGGAAGGAGUAAAGUACUCCUUUAACAGCUUGGGUUGUGCUUCAGCCAUCUCGACAGGUGGAGCAGAUCCUAUGGUUCUAUAGGUACGGAUUUCGGCUCGAAGGUCUCUAAUAGAACGCUCUAUUUCAGAAUCAAAAGGUACUAAUUCAGGAGAUCUGGAAUGACACCCUAGCAUACACUAAUACUCUUCUGAUCAGUCAAGUCAAGCAUGCACUAAAAGAAAAAUACAUCAAAUUCUUGUAUUUGCCCUAAAAUAUCUAGACAGCUCCUAACUGGUUUGAAGAGAGCACCUAAGCCUCCAAUCCGGUCUAAUGAACUGAGUUGACCAGGUAAGCUCCCAGGUAAGUGGGGGGGUCACGAUGCGUUCGCAAAGGUCCCACUUAAAAACCACUUGCCUCGAACAGAUGAACUGUCUUCCUUAUAGGGACAAAGCUUGCCUAGACAUCAACUAAGCCACAUAGCGAAAUUGGUGCAACUUUCGGUGAUCUUCGUCCUAUUGAGCUCGAAUGUCCCUAGGG
rnacentral:lncRNA from 1 species